UACGAAGGGGGCUAGCGUUGUUCGGAUUUACUGGGCGUAAAGCGCACGUAGGCGGACUUUUAAGUCAGAGGUGAAAUCCCAAGGCUCAACCUUGGAACUGCCUUUGAUACUGGAAGUCUGAGUAUGGUAGAGGUUGGUGGAACUGCGAGUGUAGAGGUGAAAUUCGUAGAUAUUCGCAAGAACACCAGUGGUGAAGGCGGCCAACUGGACCAUUACUGACGCUGAGGUGCGAAAAGCGUGGGGGAGCAAACAGG
rnacentral:rRNA from 1 species